rnacentral:rRNA from 1 species
AGAGUUUGAUCCUGGCUCAGGAUGAACGCUAGCGGCAGGCUUAAUACAUGCAAGUCGAGGGGCAGCAUGGUGUAGCAAUACACUGAUGGCGACCGGCAAACGGGUGCGGAACACGUACGCAACCUUCCUCUUACUGGGAGAUAGCCCACCGAAAGGUGGAUUAAUACCUCAUAAAAUAAACGAGUGGCAUCACUUGGUUAUUAAAGCUCAGGCGGUAAGAGAUGGGCGUGCGUCUGAUUAGGUAGUUGGCGGGGUAACGGCCCACCAAGCCUACGAUCAGUAGCUGAUGUGAGAGCAUGAUCAGCCACACGGGCACUGAGACACGGGCCCGACUCCUACGGGAGGCAGCAGUAAGGAAUAUUGGUCAAUGGACGCAAGUCUGAACCAGCCAUGCCGCGUGAAGGAUGAAGGUCCUCUGGAUUGUAAACUUCUUUUAUCUGGGACGAAACCCCGAUUUCUAUCGGGACUGACGGUACCAGAGGAAUAAGCACCGGCUAACUCUGUGCCAGCAGCCGCGGUAAUACGGAGGGUGCAAGCGUUAUCCGGAUUCACUGGGUUUAAAGGGUGCGUAGGCGGGUUUGUAAGUCAGUGGUGAAAUCCCCGAGCUUAACUUGGGAACUGCCAUUGAUACUGCAAAUCUUGAAUUUUCUGGAGGUAAGCGGAAUAUGUCAUGUAGCGGUGAAAUGCUUAGAUAUGACAUAGAACACCCAUUGCGAAGGCAGCUUACUACGGGAACAUUGACGCUGAGGCACGAAAGCGUGGGGAUCAAACAGGAUUAGAUACCCUGGUAGUCCACGCCCUAAACGAUGAUUACUCGACAUUAGCGAUAUUACUGUUAGUGUCUAAGCGAAAGCAUUAAGUAAUCCACCCGGGAAGUACGACCGCAAGGUUGAAACUCAAAGGAAUUGACGG